rnacentral:rRNA from 1 species
UGCGGUUAAACAAAUGAUACUACUAUUUUUAUUUGGUUUUUAGUUUUAGUUAAUAAGAAUUAAAUUUUAUUUAAUGAAAUAUUGGGUGAAAUCCUAUUUUUUUUUUAAUUAAAUUUUUGAUUAUGAGGCUGAGAAAUCUAGUUUUUAAACUGGGAUUAGAUACCCCAUUAUUCUAGAUGUUGAUAAAUUAAGCCUGAUGAAUAUAAGUUAUGUUCUUUAAAAUCAAAAAAUUUGGCGGUUUUUUAUUCCGAUCAGGGGAAUCUGUCCUGUAAUCGAUAAUCCACGAUUAAUAAAACUUUUAUUUUGCUUGUAUAUCAUCGUUGUUAAUUAUUUUUUAAAAUAUAUAAUUUGAAUAUAAAACUAUAUAAAAUAUCAGAUCAAGGUGCAGCUUAUAUAAGUAGAGAUGGAUUACAGUAAAUUUAUUUUAGGAUAAGUUUUAUCAUUAUUAUUUAGAAUUUGGAUUUGAAUGUAAUUUUAAUUAUUAAUUGAAAUGAAUUAGGCUCUAGAAUGUGU